AUGGCGGACGGCAACGUGCAGCUGCUGUGCCACGGCUACAGCGAGCACAACCUGAGCGCGCCGGUCUGGUCGGAGCGGGCCGAGAUCCCCAGCGCGGAGGAGGCGCGCAUGUCGAUCCCGGCGGUGCGCGGCGACGAGGUGUUCGAGGUGCUCUGCUCCUACCGCGGCGCCAACCUGUGCUGGGCGCACGGCGUGCGCAUCUUCUGGAACCCCGGCCACGACGUGCUCCUCUGCAGGGAGGACGGCGGCGGGUGCAAGGUCCGGUUCCGGGAGGACGGCGGCGUGGAGAAGCAGUACGGGACGCUGGGCAGCAGCCACGGGAUGGAGACGCAGCCGCCCAUGUUCCUCGGCUUCGCGCCGGACUUCGACAACGCCAGGGACGGCGGCUGCGCCUCGUCCAGCUGCGUCGGCAGGACCGUCAACCGGGUCAUCGGCGAGGAGAGCUGCUGCGACGACUCCUGCGGCGGGUGGGAGAAGGCAAACCCAAAGACGUCGUCCUGA
rnacentral:rRNA from 1 species